rnacentral:tRNA from 1 species
GCCCUCCUAGCUCAAUUGGCAGAGCAUCUGACUCUUAAUCAGAGGGUUAUUGGUUCGAGUCCAAUGGGGGGCA